rnacentral:rRNA from 1 species
AACCUGCGGAAGGAUCAUUACCGAGUUGAU